GACGAACGCUGGCGGCGUGCUUAACACAUGCAAGUCGAACGCUGAAGACCUGGCUUUUGUUGGGUUGGAUGAGUGGCGAACGGGUGAGUAACACGUGAGUAACCUGCCCUCUUCUUUGGGAUAACGCCCGGAAACGGGUGCUAAUACUGGAUAUUCACUGGCCUUCGCAUGGGGGUUGGUGGAAAGGUUUGUUCUGGUGGGGGAUGGGCUCGCGGCCUAUCAGCUUGUUGGUGGGGUGAUGGCCUACCAAGGCUUUGACGGGUAGCCGGCCUGAGAGGGUGACCGGUCACAUUGGGACUGAGAUACGGACCAGACUCCUACGGGAGGCAGCAGUGGGGAAUAUUGCACAAUGGGCGAAAGCCUGAUGCAGCGACGCCGCGUGAGGGAUGGAGGCCUUCGGGUUGUAAACCUCUUUCGCUCAUGGUCAAGCCGCAACUGUGGGUUGUGGUGAGGGUAGUGGGUAAAGAAGCGCCGGCUAACUACGUG
rnacentral:rRNA from 1 species